rnacentral:tRNA from 1 species
GCCUGGGUGGCUCAGUCAGUUAAGCAGCUGACUUCGGCUCAGGUCAUGAUCUUGUGGUUUGUGGGUUCAAGCCCCGCAUCGGGCU